rnacentral:rRNA from 1 species
GGCCCUGCUUGCAGGGUACUCGAGUGGCGAACGGGUGAGUAACACGUGGGUGAUCUGCCCUGCACUUCGGGAUAAGCUUGGGAAACUGGGUCUAAUACCGGAUAGGAGCCAUCUUUAGUGUGGUGGUUGGAAAGUUUUUUCGGUGUAGGAUGAGCUCGCGGCCUAUCAGCUUGUUGGUGGGGUAAUGGCCUACCAAGGCGGCGACGGGUAGCCGGCCUGAGAGGGUGUACGGCCACAUUGGGACUGAGAUACGGCCCAGACUCCUACGGGAGGCAGCAGUGGGGAAUAUUGCACAAUGGGCGCAAGCCUGAUGCAGCGACGCCGCGUGGGGGAUGAAGGCCUUCGGGUUGUAAACUCCUUUCGCUAGGGACGAAGCUUUGUUGUGACGGUACCUAGAUAAGAAGCACCGGCUAACUACGUGCCAGCAGCCGCGGUAAUACGUAGGGUGCGAGCGUUGUCCGGAAUUACUGGGCGUAAAGGGCUCGUAGGUGGUUUGUCGCGUCGUCUGUGAAAUUCUGGGGCUUAACUCCGGGCGUGCAGGCGAUACGGGCAUAACUUGAGUGCUGUAGGGGUAACUGGAAUUCCUGGUGUAGCGGUGAAAUGCGCAGAUAUCAGGAGGAACACCGAUGGCGCAGGCAGGUUACUGGGCAGUUACUGAC